UACAGAGGUCUCAAGCGUUGUUCGGAUUCAUUGGGCGUAAAGGGUGCGUAGGCGGCGCGGUAAGUCGGGGGUGAAAUCUCGGGGCUUAACUCCGAAACUGCAUUCGAUACUGCCGUGCUUGAGGACUGGAGAGGAGACUGGAAUUUACGGUGUAGCGGUGAAAUGCGUAGAUAUCGUAAGGAAGACCAGUGGCGAAGGCGGGUCUCUGGACAGUUCCUGACGCUGAGGCACGAAGGCCAGGGGAGCAAACAGG
rnacentral:rRNA from 1 species